AUAUCACAGUUGCGUCCGGACCUGCCUGGGGGUGUGCAGGUGAGUCAGCCAUGCGAACAUGAAGACCACCCAUGGUGCUCCACCAUCACACGAACAACCUCACUGGCUGUGUCCGCUGUAGUGUCUGGCUACCAGUUGGCAGCUCUGAGCAAACUAACUCAGUCCCUAAGCCAACUCUGAACUCCAGGAAAUUAAAAUCCAGCGAAUAACUCUGUACAGAUCUGAGAGGAAACUGAGCAAGAAGCUGUCUCUAUGCAGUCAGCAGACUUCGGAAUGUUGGAUACCCAAUCAAUAUUUGGAUGCCAUGGAGUUACUAUGCUACUCAGCUGACCAGAGUUAAAAACAAGAUACCAAGAGACUACCUUUGGUGAGGGUGAUCUGGCCACAGUUUUUUACUCAGUUGAUCAUACAGUCUUAUUCCAGGACAACUCUGCCUGCAAUAGGCUUUGUGACCCAUCCAGCUUCCUUGGAAAGACAAAGGGCAAUAAAGCCAGACCAGCCUUCUGAACCAGCCUGCCUUUCAGCAUCUGUGCUACAUAGAAUCUUCAGAUAUGAAGAUUGGGAUACUUGCGGAGGGGAUUUCAUCACAGGGCCUCAGGGCAUGGACUGCAUAUGAUUUCUCUAUAUAUGAUGAGACUCAGCCUCAAAGUGGAUUCCAAGUAUUGGGCAAUCUCUCUUCAACCGCCUUCCCAAAUGGUCAUUCUUUGAGUUGCUUUCAUCAUGAAGAAUCUAGUGUUGUGACCAACUUGAGAAGGCCACCCUUCCCCGUAUUCACUGCUGCUGCUGCUACUGCUGCUAAGUCACUUCAGUCGUGUCCGACUCUGUGCGACCCCAUAGACGGCAGCCCACCAGGCUCCCCCAUCCCUGGGAUUCUCCAGGCAAGAACACCGGAGUGGGUUGCCACUUCGUGGCAUAUUCAUGAAAGGAAGGCAUCUCUUGGAAGUGACAGGAGACAAUGUUCCUGAAGAGUCUACUGACAGAUCCCAUCUGCAGUCCAGAAAACCUACAAAUCCCUUGUCUGGAUUUUAUUUUUUAUUUUAAAUAUAGUUUAAAAUUUAUAGUUAAGUUACAGUUAAGUUUCAGGGCUACAAUAUAGUGAGUGAUUCACAAUGUUGAAAGGUUAUACUCCAUUUAUAUUUAUUAUAAAAUAUCUGAUAUAUUUCCCGAGCUGUACAACAUAUCCUGUGGCUUAGUUACUUUAUACAUGGUAGUCUGUACCUCUGAAUCCCUUACUCCUAUCUAGCCACCCCCUCCUUUCCUCUCCCCACUCGUAAUCACUAGUUUGUUCUCUGUAUCUGUGAGUAUGCUUAUUUUUUGUUAUAUUCACUGAUUUAUUUUUUCUACAUAUAAGUGAUAUCAUACACUAUUUAUUUUUCUCUGUCUGACUUACUUCAUCAAGCACAGUAUCUCCCAAGUCCAACCAUGUUGGUCCAAACAGCAAAUUUCCAUUCCUUUUUAUAGUUGACUAGUAUUCCACUGUAUAUAAAUACCACAUCUUCUUUAUCCAUUCAUCUGCCAAUGGACACUUAAGUUGCUUCCAUGUCUUGGCUAUUAUAAACAAUGCUGCUAUGAACUUGGAGUGCAUGUAUCUUUUCAAAUUAGUGUUUUUGUUUUCUUCAGAUAUAUACCCAGGAGUGGAAUCAGAAUUGUAUUUUUACAGAAUCGUGGAAAUAGAGAUUAGACUGGUGGUUGCAAAGUGAAAAGAAUGGAUUGAGGGAAGGAUGGAGUGGGAGAUUGGCAUUAGCAGAUGUAAACUUUUAUAUACAGAAUGGAUAAAUAACAAGGUCCUAUUGCAUAGCACAGAGAACUAUAUUCAAUACUCUAUGGUAAAUCAUAAUGGAAAAUAACAUUAAAAAAGAAUGCAUGUAUAUGUAUAAUGGAAUUACUUUGCUGUACAGCGGAAAUUAAUAAAACUCUGUAAAUCAACUAAACCUCAAUUGAAAAAGAAUUGCAUUUUUAAAUGCAUAAAAUACCUAGGAUUGUAAACAAAACCAAUCAUGUUGAAG
ensembl:lncRNA